ensembl:lncRNA LINC00871 long intergenic non-protein coding RNA 871
GAAACAAUUGAUCUUGAUGGAACAAUCUUGUUUUUAUAUAAAAUUUCAAGCUGGUGAUGACAUGUGUAAAAGGAAAAGUGCUGCAAGCAGUAAAUGCUGUUCAGUUUGCAGUCCAUUACAUCAACAUAUCUAAAUGAUCCUCUUUAGCCCAGUACUUCAAUAGGAUGUUGGAAAAGAAGACUUCCACUCUAAUAGGAUGAAAAAAUGAUCAUUUAUUUACAUCAUUCUGAUUUCUUUUAAUUGCUUCACAAUCCACUAUAAAGAAGAUUCGCUCUGACCCUAAAUUUUCUACUUUUUUUCCCACUUUUCUCUCACAUAAAUUAGGUGUUUCAUUCUUUUUCCUCCUUAUUAUUUUAUUUACACCAUUCUGUGUUGAGCACAGAAAGGUGGAAGUAUAUAGCCCUGUUCUCUGUUUUUAAUGCUCUGUAUAUUUUUGUUUCCUUUUCUGUGGAAUCA